rnacentral:rRNA from 1 species
GACGAACCGUCCUAACGUUGUUCGGAAUCACUGGGCUUAAAGGGCGCGUAGGCGGGCGGCCAAGUCAGGGGUGAAAGCCCCCAGCUCAACUGGGGAAGUGCCUCUGAUACUGGUCAUCUCGAGGGAGAUAGGGGCGUGCGGAACUUCCGGUGGAGCGGUGAAAUGCGUAGAUAUCGGAAGGAACACCGGUGGCGAAAGCGGCGCGCUGGAUCUCUUCUGACGCUGAGGCGCGAAAGCCAGGGGAGCGAACGGG